rnacentral:rRNA from 1 species
AUUGAACGCUGGCGGCAUGCUUUACACAUGCAAGUCGAACGGCAGCGCGGGCUUCGGCCUGGCGGCGAGUGGCGAACGGGUGAGUAAUGCAUAGGAACGUGCCCAGUAGUGGGGGAUAGCGCGGCGAAAGCCGGAUUAAUACCGCAUACGACCUGAGGGUGAAAGCGGGGGACCGACAGGCCUCGCGCUAUUGGAUCGGCCGAUGUCGGAUUAGCUAGUUGGUGGGGUAAAGGCCUACCAAGGCGACGAUCCGUAGCUGGUCUGAGAGGACGACCAGCCACACUGGGACUGAGACACGGCCCAGACUCCUACGGGAGGCAGCAGUGGGGAAUUUUGGACAAUGGGGGCAACCCUGAUCCAGCCAUGCCGCGUGCGUGAAGAAGGCCUUCGGGUUGUAAACCGCUUUUGUUCGGGAAGAAAGCCUCUGAGCUAAUACCCCGGGGGGAUGACGGUACCGGAAGAAUAAGCACCGGCUAACUACGUG